CCGGCAUGCUCUGGGCCCUCAGGCCUGUUUAGACGGCUGGGCCGGAUGUGACCAACUCCAGGCACUCGGUUCUCCGCAAGGCUGGAGCUGUCAUCUCAAAAGCCGCUCAGCCAGAAGCCAAGAGGCAGGUGUCCUGUGGGCCCUGGGCAAGCUUCUUCUCCCGGCGGGCCUCAGAUUCUUUGCCUGUGGAAAGAGGUAUUUGGUUCCAACACCCUUUGGACCCUGGUGCCCUGUUCACCUGUGGGCCAGGACAACCCCGGUUCUGCUGUUCUGAUGUGGCCCUUCCAGACGGGGGCUGGUCCUGCCUGACUCUCUCUCCCUGAAGUCGUGUGUCCUGAGCCUCUGCCCCAGGCCCUAGCCAGGAAGAGUCUAAGGAAAUGUGAACAUCGUUGCGCUCUGUCCACCACGUCCAAAUUGAAAGCAGAAGAGGCCGGAGCCUUUGCUGUUAGCUCCUGCAGAGCAGGUCUGUCUUUUAUCGCUUUGGAGUCACCUUCUUAGGAGAGACUAGGUCUGCUUCGGUGGUAAUUUUUCUCCAUAGAGUGAGCCCAUGUCCUCAACCCGACUAACCAUUCCAUCCUUAACCCGUGGACCUGGGGCUGAGUUCAGCUCCCUUUGAACCGGCUGAUCUGUUCUGUCGCCCAUCUGGCUGUUUUUGUACCUGGAUCAUACUGUUUUCCCGACCGGGGCUUCAUAGUCUGUGCUAACAGCAGGCAGGGCCAGUCCUCCCCUCUUGGUUCUUUUCUUCUCAAAGUCAGCUAGCCACUUACAAAUCUUUAUUCUUCCA